rnacentral:misc_RNA from 1 species
GUGUGAACAGCCCGGUUGAAUCAUGGAUUUUGGAUUCUGGUGCAUCUUUCCAUUCGUCUCCAAGCAAGGAAUUGUUCCAAAAUUUCAAAUCUGAAAAUUUUGGAAAAGUAUAUCUUGCUGACAAUAAAGCCUUAGAGAUUGAAGAAAAGGGGGAUGUUUUCAUAAAGACCACCUCGGGAAACCUUUGGACAUUGGAGGAUGUCAGAUAUAUUCGUGGGAUCAAGAAAAAUCUGAUCUCUGUUGGUCAGUUGGAUAGCACGGGAUAUGCAGCAGAGUUUGGGAAAGGUUCGUGGAAAAUUGUGAAAGGUGCUAUGGUAGUAGCUCGUGACACAAAAUCUGGAACCUUG